CCAAAGGAGUCCAUUUCAUGUUUUUGGC
rnacentral:piRNA from 1 species